GGCUUCUUAGCUCAGCUGGUAGAGCGCUUGCCGUGUUGAGGCAUGCCGUGUCUGUCGCUGGUUCGAAUCCAGCUGAAGCCC
rnacentral:tRNA from 1 species